rnacentral:rRNA from 1 species
UACGUAGGUGGCAAGCGUUGUCCGGAUUUACUGGGCGUAAAGAGCGCGCAGGCGGUCGGAUAAGUCGAAUGUGAAAGCCCCCGGCUCAACUGGGGAGGGUCAUUCGAUACUGUUCGACUCGAAGGCAGGAGAGGGAAGUGGAAUUCCCGGUGUAGUGGUGAAAUGCGUAGAUAUCGGGAGGAACACCAGUGGCGAAGGCGACUUCCUGGCCUGUUCUUGACGCUGAGGCGCGAAAGCAUGGGGAGCGAACAGG